rnacentral:lncRNA from 1 species
GAGAAAGCUCUUGAAUGUUCGGUCACUUGGGGAAGAAAAUUGAAGGUAAGUUCAUGGUAGUUUGCUUCUAUCUUGAUGUUCAUGAGUUCUUCUUGAUUCUACCUUAACUCUUGAAGCAUACUUUGGUUUUUAGUUGUGUUGUGAGCAUUUAGUCAUGAAUUAAAAUGAAGGAAAUGGUUGUUGUUUCAUGUUCUUUUGAUGAAAAAUGAAAGAUAGGUGAAGUUGAGCCAAACAAAUGAGCAUGCAUGUGCCUUAGAUGCUAAAGGGAAAAAUCGGCUAACAUGUUGUGCUUUAAAAUGAUGAAAUGGAGAUUAUACUUAAGUAAAAUCAUAGAUAUGUGAUGAUUGAUUGGUGAUAUACAUGUUUAAAUAACAUGCAUGCAAGUUAUGUGUGAAAGAGUGAUUUGGUAAUAAAUCUGCUUGGGACAGCAGCAGUAAUGUGACUUUGGAAAAUCACUAUAAAUUGUGGGAGAUGAGUUAGAAGCUGAAUAAAUUAUGUAAUUAAAGCUUAAUGAGUCUAGUUUCAAAUGAAAUAAACAAGAACAUAUUUUGAAUUCUGUACAAUGAGAAAUUUGAUUCGUAAUGAAGAGUGGUCAGAUUAGUCAAACAGUGAAACAUGGGAAACUUUAAGAAAAAUCUGGUAUUGAUUGGCCAAACCAAAAAUUCUUAAAAUUUUAUGGAUAGAAGAUAUAUGAGUAUAUUUUCAGGGAAAAUUAACGGCACUUGAUUUGGAGUUUCGUAGCUCCAGUUAUAAAUGAUUUAGUGACUGUUGCUCAGGAAGACAGCUUGCACUGAAAUUAUGAUUAUGUGGUAAACAUUGACAAAAAUUUGUUAAUGAGUUGCUUAUUGAUUUCUUAUAAGCUUACUAUGAUCUGUAGGUGUGGUUGGCCGAAUAUUGUAGGGGGUUAAUACGUAGUUUGUAUUUGAAUAGUUAGAUUAACAUGUUAGUAAUCCAAUUGUAGGCAGUUCGAGUGUGGAUCUCGUCAGCAUAUCGUCGCAAACAGGUGUGUAACUGACACCCUCUCAUAGACUAGAUUGGCAAAAGCCGAAAAGCCGAAAUGCCGAAAAGUCGGUAUUUUGGGAAUUUGCGAGUGUGCGAAUGCUCGUAAGAUAGUUGGGUUUGUAUAUUUAGUAAUCUAAAGUAAUAAACUGCAGUACGCGCGAUUUCGUACAUUUUGAUAAUUUGGGCUUAAUGGGCCAAAGAUCGGGUUCAUGGGCCAACGGGCCCAAUUCGGUAAGUAUGCGCGGUAAGUGUUCUGAUAGUACGUAAAUAGUUAGGAUAUGCAUGAAAACCCUAAAAGCAGCUAAAUUACUAUAAUACCCCUAUGUAUGAAAAAUUAUUGUUAUACCCCUAGGUGCAAAAUUACCGUUAUACCCCUAUGAUUAAUUUUGACUGAAAAGCAUGACGAUCUGAUUCUAUAUGAUGUAUGCCAUGAUUAUAUAUCUGUUACAUGGGGACAUGGGUUAUAUUAUAGAGGAAGCGUCCUAGUGGCUAUGCCACAAUUAUCUGAUCUGGUGGCUCUGCCACAUAUAUCUGUUCUGGUGGCUAUGCCACGAUUGUCUGAUCUGGUGGCUCUGCCACAUAUAUCUGUUCUGGUGGCUCUGCCACAAUAUCUGUAUCUGGUGACUUCGUCACAAUAUCUGGUAGCCUCGCUGCGAUUUCUGUGGUGUGUAGCGGUUGGGUGGGUUGAGUAGUCUCCCCACAUGGUGUAAGGCUGGUACGGGGGUGUUAUGGAUGAAUCUGGGUUGGGUUUCUGCAUAAACAUGUAAUAUCUGUUCUGUUCUGUUAUGGGCCUAUGGGCUUUAUUCUGAAUUUCUGUUCUGGGCUAAGGCCAGCUUAUUCUGUUUCUGUGGGUUGAGCUGAUUUAGACUAUGGUUGGGUUAUUUUACACACUGAGUUUCCCCAAACUCACCCCUUUUAUUUUCAUCCACGCAGGUAAUCCCCAACCAUAGUGGGCUUGGAGCUGGAAGGGAAUUCGGAGUGGCUACCCGUUCUGAAAGUUUGAUUUUCUUCUGGUGAACUGGACAUCCUUUUAAUUACGUUUGAGGUUUUGGGCUUUUAAAUGUAAUAAGACCGCUUAUUUAUUUUUGAUGGUUUUUAUAUGUUUUAUUAAGAUAGGUAAUAUUUAUAUUUAACUGUUGAAAUUGGAUA